CCAGCUGUCACUCUCACAGCAGCCACAGUUGAUUGUUUCAAAUCUCUUGUCACUGUGCCUGUCCUUAUCUCUUCCCUCAAUCUUUAAAUACUGACCAAUGUACAAAGUUUUAUUAAUGUAAAAUUUGGAAAGUUUUAAUGUUUUGGCACAUGUACAAAUCUGUUGUAAAAACACCAUCAAUUUUUUUUUAUUAUUCAGCACCUACACAUAAUCUUCAGUUUUGAAGGAGUGUAGUUAUUUGAAGAAGAAGAAAAAUAGGUUAAAAAUUGAGAAACUGUAGAAAAGAAAAGAAGAUCAAGGUACAGAAUAAAGUUUGUGCAAAAGGAAAUUACCAUAAGUGGUAUAAACUACUGAAGAGGAUAUAUGUGUGACUACAGAGUAUUGUCAUGUGACUGAACAUUUAAAUACUGCACUGACUGCUGAGUAAGGUUGGUUUAUGGAGAUAAAUGAGGAAUUUUAUCACUAAACUACUUUAUGGUUAAAUUAACAUGGGAUGAUACAUGUAAUGUUGUCCUAGAUUUGUGUCAUUUUUAUCGAUAAUAUAAGUGAUUAUUAUUGAUAUGUUAAGGUAUUUGGGAGUAAUUUCUGAGAAAGGUGUCAGUUGGAAAUUUAGAUAAUAUUUAAAGUAACGAAAGGUUCAGUUGAUUAUAGGACUGUGUAAGCUGAAUGUACAUGUGGUAACGAAAGGUUCAGUUGAUUAUAGGACUGUGUAAGCUGAAUGUACAUGUGGUAACGAAAGGUUCAGU
rnacentral:lncRNA from 1 species